rnacentral:rRNA from 1 species
GCUGACGAGCGGCGGACGGGUGAGUAAUGUAUGGGGAUCUGCCCGAUAGAGGGGGAUAACUACUGGAAACGGUGGCUAAUACCGCAUAAUGUCUACGGACCAAAGCAGGGGCUCUUCGGACCUUGCACUAUCGGAUGAACCCAUAUGGGAUUAGCUAGUAGGUGGGGUAAAGGCUCACCUAGGCGACGAUCUCUAGCUGGUCUGAGAGGAUGAUCAGCCACACUGGGACUGAGACACGGCCCAGACUCCUACGGGAGGCAGCAGUGGGGAAUAUUGCACAAUGGGCGCAAGCCUGAUGCAGCCAUGCCGCGUGUAUGAAGAAGGCC